rnacentral:rRNA from 1 species
AACGAACGCUGGCGGCAUGCCUAACACAUGCAAGUCGGAUGUGCCGCAAGGUGCAUGGCAGACGGGUGAGUAACGCGUAGGGAAUCUACCUUUUUGUGGGGAAUAACGCUCCGAAAGGAGUGGUAAUACCGCAUGAGACCGUGGCCUGGGAUGGUUACGGUGAAACCUGGGGACCGCAAGGCCUGGGGCAAAAAGAGGAUCCUGCGUCUGAUUAGCUAGUUGGCGGGUAAUGGCCCACCAAGGCGACGAUCAGUAGCCGGCCUGAGAGGGUGAUCGGCCACACUGGAACUGAGACACGGUCCAGACUCCUACGGGAGGCAGCAGUGGGAAUAUUGGACAAUGGGCGCAAGCCUGAUCCAGCAAUGCCGCGUGGGUGAUGAAGGCCUUCGGUUGUAAGCCCUUUGGUCGGGACGAUGAUGACGGUACCCGCCGAAUAAG